AGAGAGCUCUCUUGCCACUCCACCAUGUAAGAACACAGCCAGAGGAGAGCUGCCUGUGAACCAAGAAGCAGGCCCUCACCAGACACUGAGUCUGCCAGCACCUGGAUCUUGGACUUCCAGCCUCCAGAAGUGUGAGAAAGAAAUUUCUGUGGUUGAUAAGCCACCCAGCCUGUAGGACUUUGCUAUAGUAGCCCAAACAGACUAAAAUUGGGAGAUUAUCCUGGAUUAUCCAGGCAGCCCCAACAUAUUCAGGAGAGUUCUUAUAAGAGAAAAGGGAGGCAGGUGAGUCUGAGUCAGAGAAGGAGGUGUGAUGAUGGAAGCAGAGGUCAAAGUGAUGCGGGGCCAUAAGCCAAGGAAUGCGGUCAGCCUCUAAAAGCCGCAAAAGGCUAGGAAGACCCAGUUGAGACAGCGGACACUAGAGCAGCCUGGAAGGGAACACCUGCCUACGAAGCCCCUAGGAGCAUGAGGUGUUUCCUCCCACAGCUUCCUGUCCUGCCCAGGGCUAAGAGGACAAGACUGGCAGAAGGACAACCAGCAAUGCUGAGGGACUGUGGCUCAAGGCACUGAUGUCAUUGCCUUGGGUUGCAGUUUUUCUUUUUUUGAAGGAGUCUAACUCUGUCACCUAGGCUGGAGUGCAGUGGAGCAAUUGCGGCUCACUGCAGCCUCAACUUCCUGGGCUCAAGCAAUCCUCCCACCUCAGCCUCAUGAGUAGCUUGGACUACAGUGCCCGAGGGGCAAAACUGCAGCAGAGUGGCUCCUGUAUCCUCAGCACUCAACAUGGACCCCGUUGUUGGUGUUCAAGAAACAUUUGAGGAGCUGCACUUACUUGGAAUGAGAAAAAGUUACACCCAUGACCUCCAGGUAAAGCAGACAGCAAAUGGCAUAAGUGAAGGGCCCUGCAGCAGCCACAGACACAGGCCUGGGGAAAUAGAGGAUCCCAGAUGGAAGAGCUGCCACUUACUGGGCACCGCCCUGUGCCAAACCCAACACCGUGUGCACUCUGUAGACUCUCAUUGAAUCCCUAAAUCCUUCCGUGGUAUGGAUUAUUAUCUCCAUUUUACUAAUGAGGCCAUUAAAGCUCAGAAGAUUAAGUAACGUGACCAGUAUAAAGUACAAGAAAAUGACA
ensembl:lncRNA novel transcript